AAAUUUAAAUAAAGCCUAUUGUGAUUUGUUGUAAGACAGAUGGAUAGACAUAGUAAUGGCAUAGGAAGCCAAAAUUUAUCUCAAGUGCAAAAAUAGAGCAACGGCCGUAAGUAAUAAACAAGCCAGACAUUUCUGCUAAUCUGAAUUAUCAAUCUCUGAGAAAUGCAAACAGAAAUAAGUUACUCGUGGAUUUAACUCAACUGCUCUGCUCUGAUUCUAACACCUUGUGGUAAUGUGGUAAUACAACAAUUGAUAGAGCUGUGACUAUAACAGAAGAUAUAUAUUUAUGACAUGAAUUGAUUUGGUUUGUCUGUGAACAAAGAGAAGAAACAUUAAGACGUGAUAUAUAUUGCAAAGUAGUGAGACUAACCUGUCGGGCAAGUUGCAAAGUCACCUGAGCUCAAAAAGAAGAAUGGACCAAAAGAAGAAUGGACCAUAACUUUGAUGGAAAACUCGCCUUUUAAUUGAUUGGUACAAAGGACAGCUAAAGGAUUGCACUCCUCUAAUUCAAUGGACCUGAUCGAAGACUGAUCAUCCGACAAAUCGAGUUGUUGCAAUUUGUAGCAGUGCUUCAUCCUUAGUCUACGAAGCCUCGGGAGGCUUCCACGUUGAGGUCUCCAUUGCACCAAAUCGGUGUCUUCAAUUCGAAGUUCAAUAAGUUCCAAGAAGCUCCCCGGUUUUAUUUCCCACUCUGGGCCUCGAAAGGCAUAGCAACUUAAUUCAAGAAGCUUGAGUUUUGGCAGCAGCGAACCGAUGUCAUUUAAAGACCCCCAAGGAUAUCCAACGCCGCUCAAUUCUAAAUUAGAAAGACUUGAUGGGAACAUUGAAAGAUUAAUAAAAGUAGGAAAUUCACGCUUUAUCUCGGGAUUUGUGAUUCUAUAUACAAGUGUUUGCAAAUUCUGGUGUUCUGAUAUAUAACUCAAAGAACUCAAUGGGUUGGUUUCAUCAACAUCAUAAGGCUUCAACUCCACUUCAAUCAAUAAUUCCUUUAAAUUAGGAAUUCUUUUGAGAACAUCCCUUGUACAACUGUUUGCACUCACACCAGCAAGUAAGGUGAGUUUGUUCAAGGCAGCAUCAUCAGUAUUUGGGGUUGGUAGGUCCCUUCCCCAUAUCUCAAGAUGCUCUAAUUCUUCAAGAUCCCAAAUUUGCGCAGGCACGAAAGACUGUACUCCACGCUUUUUAAUGAUCAUAUGUCUAUGAAUAAGCAAGAAUUGAAGCUGAAAAAGUUUGGAUAUGGAAGCAGGGAGCUCGCCGUUGUAAAUUAUGGCAAGAAAUCGUAGGCAAACUAGUUUGAAAAUUUCAGUUGAGAUAUGGUAAAAUCGGACAUGAACAGCAUAUAGUACCCUAAGCAACUUGAAAUCCAUGGCAUGUAUUGGGAUUGGAUAUGGGUGAUAAGGACCAUAACAAAGGAGAGAACGGGCAGUCGAUGCACAAUCAAUUUUUAUCGAAUCACACACUUGUUUGAUGCAUAAUAAACUGUUCCAAUGGGCACACAAGCGGCGCUGGUCUUUUAUAACAUCAUCACAACUUCGUAAGACAUGCAGAAACUUGAUCCUACUAGCUUCUACCCUACACACGUGCUGCCAACAAGAAUGCACACGAUACUUGCAAUCCCAAAACGAAUAUACAUCCUCCUGUGAUGUGUCGAGAACAACAUGAUACAACAUCGAAAGCUUUUCCAAGCAUGACUUCAAAAAUAGAUAAAAACUUUCUUCUCCACUCAGUUGAAGAAACAUAUCAGCACUCAACGUACCGUUGAGCGUGUUUAGAUGGAUAUCCAAAUAUGGACAGAAUGCUCCCACGGAGAGAAAAAACAUUUUUAAAUAUUGGGGUAAGUAGUCAUAGCUUGGAAAAAGUACCUCUGAUAUUUGAUUAUAUGCAUCCACAAAAACUGAACGAUGUUGUUUGAGUACCCCAGUCCAGUAUUCUGGGGUCUUGUCCGCUUUUGAUAGGAGCUCUGCAACUGUGACAAUCAUAAGAGGAAGGCCUUCACAUUUCUUGACAAUCUUCUCUCCAAGUUUCUCAAGUUGAAAAGGAAAACCCUCUUCACCAAACACUUUCUCACCAAGUAAUUCCUUACUUUCUUCUUCAUUCAACAAGCGCACACUUUCACACCCACCCGUCUUGGAUCCUAUAUUUCUUCUACUUGUAAGUAAGACUCGAAUCUUUCCACCAAUAUUCUCUUCUCGCAACCAAUUUGUCAAGCGAUUUGCUGCUUGUAUCUCCCAAACAUCAUCCAACACGAUGAGACAUUUCUUAUCCUUCAAUUUUUCUUUCAAUAGUUCAACUAAUUUCUCCUCAUCAUCAUCUCCUUGGGUAAGCAGUUCGUAAGCAUUGGGAUCCACUUGAGCUAGAACGCAUCGUAAUAGUUCAUUAGAUUCACAUUUUCUGCCCACUUUGACCCAUGCUCGAAACUCAAAAUGGCUCCGAAUUGAUGGAUCUUCAAAAAUAUGCUUAGCAAGAGUUGUCUUUCCAACGCCCGCCAUCCCAAUAAUCGAAUAGGGUUCAUUGUCAUUUUCUUCAAGAAGAUAAUCUCUGGCUUUUUGAAAUUCAUGAGAUAAUCCAACCAUCUUUGACUUGAUUCCACCAAAAUCAACUCUUGAGGAAAUAGACUCGGCCUCUUCUUCAGGCAUAUUGUCCAUUUCAAAAGUGUAUUCCUCCUCCAUCAUCUUUAUCUUCUCGACGAAGCAAUCAACAUGGUGUUGCAGACUCUGCAGCUCUACAGGGAAUGACAAGCUGUCGAGUUGUGGAAGAAUCUGAUGUAAGACAUGGGAUUCGACUAAAUCUUCAAACUCCCAAACUACCUCUUUGAUUCGUUCAUCCACAGCAUUCACCUCCGUCCUGAUCUUGCAGCAGCUAGUGUCGUCCAAUUUGAGCAGAACUUUCUGCAAUCGAUCCGUCUCGUCGUAGGCAGGUUGCAAGAUUUGCGGAGAGUGGGAAACGAGAGAAAUGCGAGAGGAUUGUAGAAUACGCUGAAUUGUAUUCUUGAGAGAAGCCGCCGCACCAUAAGCCGCCAUACCCAAAUUAUCAGCUGAGAAUACGAUUGAUUGUUGAAAUGAAAUCUGCUUAGCUCUGCAAUUUUCCUCCAAAAUGAAGCUUAACACCAACUGCAGCACGACAAUCCCACACAAUUAGAUCGGAAUAAAAUCCGGUGAUAGAAAUGAACUGCACGAGAAACGGAGGAGAAUGAGGAAUUUUAAUAAGCAAAUUCAGCUGUACCUCUCAUAGAGUAGGGUCGGCGGCGCCAGCAGCUGGGUUUGUACGGUGGUCGCCGGAAUAAGAUGAAUGAAGGAGGUAAUAGGCGGCGCUGCGGAUUAGGGCUGCUGUUACAGAAUAGAUUUAUCAUUUAACAACUAAAUCAUACUACUAAUUAACACAAUAAAAAAAAAAAAANACAAAAGUAUACAACAAGAGCUCUUAAUCACAGCCCUCUCUGCAGAUUUACUUAAUUGAGUUGGGCUUAAUUACCUAAAUUAUUGGGUUUCCAACUUAAUUAACUAAUCUAUUUUCUGCUUAAUUAUCCUUAUAGAGGUUAUCCAAUAAUACAAUUGUGAUUGUACUAAAUAAUCCAUGCAUGAUGCUAACAAAUUUGAAAGUUGGCCUUGAGUUUUGGAUGAUUGGACGCAUUCUUCCUUUUUGGGCCUUGGAUUUUAAGUUCGGUCCAUGUUUUCCAUUUUCAUUAGAAUUCUUUUUGGGCUUUUGGUAAUUCGGCCUUUUAUUAUUUGAAUCCUUUCUCGGCCCUUUUAGUUUGUUAGGUGGGGUUUUUUUUUUUUGGAUAGGAGUUCCAAUAAUUUAAAUUCUAUAAAUCCAGCUACUCUAAAUUAAUCUCUAAGAAUGGUAAAAUGGAUGUAUUGAUGAUUUUGAAGGCAAAUUAAGGUGUGGAAGAAUAGUUAAAGGACCGAGAAACAAAUUAAGCAACGGAAGAUUAAUUAUGAAGAUUGAGCAGUUGAUCAAGCCGAGCACGUUGAAAAUUAUAACAGCUGCAAGCAAUCUAACUCAUAAAUAAUGACAACUUGACAUUUUUAAAUAAUUUAAAAUUUUAAAUAAAUAAAUAUAUUGUGGCUAGUAGUGUACAUUAAAUAAAAAUACUGAUAAAUUGCAAACAUUAAUUUUCUACAUUGUUAGAGGUGUAACUCUGUUUAAUUUAUUUGGAUUAUCGAGUUUGACAUAUAGCUUAUCUUUUGAAAAGAUUGAUCAUUUAUAUUUGCAUGCAAUUCAUCCAAUUUUUUACUUAUAAAUUAUAUGUCAACAAAAUUGGAUUUUGGGUGGUUGUAGAUAUAGCCCCAUUUAAACUAAUAAUAAUAAUAAAAAAUAAAAAAAUAGAUAAUUUUAUCCUUAUAACUCCCUAUUGAAAAAUUCUACUAUUAUAAACAAAUUCUGCUUAUACUAAAUUAUCCAUGACGCAAACAAAGUUCCUUGUGUUUUGGAUUGCUGGAGUUCGCAUCUUUCUUUGUUUGUGGGCUUAAGAUUUAGUGCUCGUUUGGUUUAAGUAGUUGGAGUUCAGCCCAUACUUUUCUUUUUUCUUUAGAAUUCUUUUUGGGCUUUUAGUCCUUCAACCUUUUGUUGUUUGGGCCCUUCCUUGGCCCUUUUGGUUUUUUUUUUCACAGGAGCUCUUAGUGUGUUGUAUGUUGUUUCAAGGAUUUUAGGUUUUAUUUGUCCUGUUUAAUAAAAUUAUUUAAUUUAUCAAUAUCCUUUUUUAAGGAAUUUAUUUAUAUUUUGAUUCUAUUUAAUAUUUAUAUUUAUUUAUUUAAAGAAAUGAAGCUUGAUAUAGGUAAAUAUAUCAAGCUUGACAUAUAUAUGAGAUGGAAGUGUGAUACAAUUCAUUCAGAUUAAUUGCAGCAAACGCAUCUCUUUUCCACAAUCUGUUAUUAACAUGCACUAAACACAGAUAGCGAGCAGUAAAGAAGAAUUCUUGCUUGCAAACUAAAUUCAUGCACAAAGCAAAAAAUCAUGCAUAACACACAAAAUUUGCAGUCCUUAAAUAAGAGACUAAUGUUUUCACACAACUUCAAGUCUUCAACUUACAACAAUUUUAGUUACAAACACCACUCAGCACUGAGGUUUCAUAAUCCUCGACAAAAUCCAAAACAAGUCACAAUCCUUAAAUUCAUACAACAAUGUGGUAAUACAACAAUUGGAAUUCAAAUCAUGGGAUGACGCGGCGUGAUCCCUUCGCCUCUCUCAUUUGCCUGAAAAUUUAAUGUAAUAGAUCUAGAUGAUAUCACUAUUUUUGUGAUUUUUAAAGUGAAAUUGCAUUAUAAAAAUGUAAUCUUGGAGAUUAGAAAGAAGAGCAGUGGUUGAAGAUAGAAAUAGAGAGAAGGAGGCGAGAUUGAGAGAAAGAUAAUUCCAUAAUACUUAGGAGGUGAUUGGUAUGGUGGAAUGGAGGUGGGAAUGGAAUGGUGAUUCCUACCUCCAUUCCAUUCCUUUGCUUGGUAUAGUUUUUUGGUAGGAAUCAUCAUUCCAUUUGGAAUCACCAUUCCUACAUCUAUGGGAAUCACCAUUCCUCCCACCCAUCAUGGUAUUAGCCAUUCCGUGACAGCUUCAGAGCAGAGUUGCGCUGGGCAGCGCAUAGGGGCAGAGCAGAGCUGCGUUGGGCAGCGCAUAGGAGCAGAGCUGCGCUUCCGGUUAUAGCUAAAUUCUCACCUUCCCCAACCAUGUUCGUGACAAUACCCCCGGAUUUUCAGAUCCUUGUCCGCAAGGGUCAGUAAUAGCAAACUUUUUGUGAAGGAUUUUUACAUCCACCCAUUCUGACGAAUCCACACCUGUUGCAGUCCACUGCAACAGGUGGUGUCGUUCAUCCAAAGCAUUCACCUUCGUCCUGAUCUUGCUGCAGCUGGUGUCGUCUAAUUUUAGCAGAACACUCUGCAAUCGAUCCAUCUCUUCAUAGGCAGGUAGUAAGAUUUGUGGAGAGUGGGAAAUGAGAGAAAUGCGAGACGAUUGUAGAAUACGGUGAAUCGUAUUCUUCAGAGAAGUGGCUGCAGCAUAAGCCGCCAUGACUUGAUUGAAAUAUGAUUGUGGUGGUGGUGGUGGAAGGUGUGAAGCCGGAGAAGUACUUGGCGACGGCGGUAGGUGGUGGUGAUGGAAGGAUAAGGAUUUUGAAGGUGGAAUUGUGAAAAUGAGAGCCUCUCCACAAAGUCAGCUCUUCACAACGUGGAAAUACUACGCUGCUAUGCUUUGAAAUUGAGGCCAUAUACACAUCAUUGUUUAAAGAUGAUCAACGGUCAUAUGUGGAUAAUCAAGACUUGGAGAUUAAUCGAAAAGUUUGAAUAAGUAAUUAGUGUGGUUUGAGGGGAACGAUUUUUAAUAAAUGAUUUAACAUGAUUAAAUUUUUAUAAAUAUUGAAUAUGAAUACGAUUUAAAAUAUAAAAAGUAUUAUUAGAAAAAAAAAUUAGUAGUAAUUUUUUUGGACGGACGACGAUAGUAACAAAAUACUACUAAUAUUUUCGCAAUAGAUUGGUAGGUGAGAAUCUUGGUUUGUCACCAUUUUUUUUUUUUUUAAACUCCUAAACCAACAAAUUCAGAUUUUACUAGUGAACAGAAAGUACAAUUGAUGAUAAUUGUAUCCGUAAAACGUUGAAACAAAGAACAAAAAUCAAGAGAGCAGGCUAAAAUCUCACUUUCAGUUACCAACAUAAGUAAAAUUUGCAAAUCAACUUUUCCUGGUAAUAAAAAAUUAACUCAAACCCUGAAACCCCUGCUGUUUCUUCUUCCUCUUGCCCUCUCAAACUUCCUUCCCUUGGCUCGCACGUAAGGCUUCGUGUGGCUGUGUGGCACACCAGGGGCUGGACCGAAAAUGAGUGGUUGAGCUUUGAUGGGCUUUGAAGGAUAAGCCGCCAUGACUUGAUUGAAAUAUAUUGUGUGGUGGUGGUGGUGGAAGGUGUGAAGGGGGAGGAGUUGGCGACGGCGGUAGGUGGUGGUGAUGGAAGGAUAAGGAUUUUGAAGGUGGAAUUGUGAAAAUGAGAGCCUCUCCACAAAGUCAGCUCUUCACAACGCGGAAUUACUACGCUGCUAUGCUUUGAAAUUGAGGCCAUAUACACAUCAUUGAUUAAAGAUGAUCAUUGGCCAUAUGUGGAUAAUCAUGAUUUGGAGAUUAAUCGAAAAGUUUGAAUAAGUAAUUAGUGUGGUUUGAGGGGAACGAUAUUUAAUAAAUGAUUUAACAUGAUUAAAUUUUUAUAAAUAUUGAAUAUGAAUACGAUUUAAAAUAUAAAAAGUAAUAUUAGAAAAAAAAAUUAGUAGUAAUUUUUUUGGACGGACGACGAUAGUAACAAAAUACUAAUAUUUUCGCAAUAUAUUGGUAGGUGAGAAUCUUGGUUUGUCACCAUGAUCAUAUUUCUGUGCUGCUGAAAUGCUUCUUGCAAUAGAUUGGUAGCUAAGAAAUUAAUUCACAACUAAUAUAUAAAUAUGUAAUCGCAAUUGGUAACCAACAAAUCAAGAGAGCCAAUUUUAUGAAUUCAUCUAAGACAGCUACAAGAAUUUUGCUCAUAGACAACAGAGACAAUAAACUCAACUGCUCUGCUCUGAUUCUAACACCUUGUUUGAUCCUCAUAUGAAAAUUUAAUGAACUAAUUCCAAGUUAAUUUUGAAAUUAUGAACCCAGAAAUUAAUUAGUACUAGCAUUUGCACUCGUGUAACGCACGAAAAAUAUUUAUAUAUUUUAUUAUAUAUAAAUUGAUAUUAAUUUGAUUAUUAUAUAAAAAUUCUAAAUAUAAUUAAAAAUACUAUAAUUUAAGAUAAAUAUAUUUUAGUUUAAUAUAAAAAUAAUAAAGAAUAAUUCAUAUUAAUAAAAAUUGAUAUUGUAAAAAAAGAAAACAAUAUAAGUUAAAAGAUAAUUGAAAAAAAUAUAUAUUUAUUCAAAAAAGGAGGAGACAGGAGAGAGAAUUUUCUUAAGUUUUAAUUUUUAAAUAAAUAUAAUUUUUAUAUUUUAAAUUCAAUAUUUACAUAACAUAUAUCAAAUUAAAGCACUUGUCAUGAUCUUUAACUGAUAUGCAUAUCAAAUAUUUUAUAAUUAGUCGAAUUUCACAAUUUUAAAAAAGAAAUAAAAUAGAAAAAUAAGAAGUUAAAGAAAAAAGGAAAAAAAAAUGUAUAGCUUAUAAAUAAACCUUCAAUUUUGUUCUAACUACAAAAUUGUCACUCAAUUUUGAAAUUGAUUUGAAAUCAAUUUGAAAUCAGUUUGAAAUUGAUAACUCUCUUUUUUUAAUAUAGUAUAGAUAUUGACCGAAAUCUGAAAAUGUUAAGCUAUUAAAAAACACAUAUAUCAACUUAUUACACACAAGAUCAAAACAAAGUGAAAUCAUGCAUAACAAGUAAUGCUUUCACACAAAUCCAACUUACAACAAUUUCAGCAUUCAAGUUUCAUAAUCCUCAACAAAAUCCAAAUCAAGUUACAAUCCUUAAAUUCACACGAGUCUGACCCCUUCAGCUCUCCCAUUUGCCUGAAAAUUUAUAGAAAUGUGACUAUAACGAAGAUAUAUAUUUUUGACAUGAACUGAUUUGAGUUGUCUGUGAAAAAAGAGAAAGAGCAGGGAAGAAACAUUAAGACGUGCUAUAUAUUGCAAAGUAGUAUAAGACUAACCUGUCGGGCAAGUUGCUGAGUCACUUGAGCUCAAAAAGAAGAACGAGUGAUAAGUUUGAUGUAAAACGAGCCUUUUAAUUGAUUGGUACAAAAGACAACUAAAGGAUUGCACUCAUCUAAUUCAAUGGACGUCAUCGAAGACUGAUCAACCGACAAAUCGAGUUGUUGCAAUUUGUAGCAGUGCUUCAUCCUUAGUGCACGAAGCCUCGGGAGGCUUCCACGUUGAGGUCUCCAUUGCACCAAAUCGGUGUCUUCAAUUCGAAGUUCAAUAAGAUUCAAGAAACUCCCCGGUUUUAUUUCCCACUCUGGGCCUCGAAAGGCAUAGCAAUGUAAUGUGAGAAGCUCGAGUUUUGGCAGCAGCAAACCAAUGUCAUUUAGAGACUCCCAAGGAUAUCCCAACCCACUCAAAGAUAACACUAUGAGACUUGAUGGGAACAUUGAAAGAUGAAGAAUAGUAGGAAACUCACUCUUUAUCUCCGGAUUAGUGAUAUAAUAUACAAGUGCUUCCAAAUUCUGGAGUUUUGAUAUAUAACUUAAAGAACUCAAUGGGUUGGUUUCUUCAUCAUCAUCAUAAGGCUUCAACUCCACUCCAAUCCCUAAUGACUUUAAAUUAGGAAUUCUUUUGAGAACUUCCCUUGUACAACUGUUUGCACUCACACCAAAAAGUGUGGUGAGUUUGUUCAAUGUAGCAUCAUUAGAAUUAGGGGUUGGUAGGUCCCUUCCUAGUAGCAUUAAAUGUUGUAGUUCUUGCAUGUUCCAAAUUUGCACAGGCACAAAAGACUGAACUCCACGUUUUUUAAUGAUCAUAUGUCUACCAAUAAUCAAAAAUUGAAGGUGAAAAAGGUUGGAUAUGGAAGCAGGGAGGUCACCGUUGUAAGUUAUGGCAAGAUAUCGUAGACAAACUAGUUUGAAAAUUUCAGUUGGGAUAUGGUAAAAUCGGACAUUAAUAGCAUGUAGUACCUUGAGCAACUUGAAACCCAUGGCAUGUAUUGGCAGUGGAUAUGGGUGAUAAGGACCAUAGCAAAGGAGAGAACGGACAAUGGAUGCACAAUCACUUCUUAUCGAAUCACACACUUGUUUGAAGCAGAAUAAACUGUUCCAAUGGGCACACAAGCGGCGUUGGUCUUUUAUAACAUCGUCACAACUUUGUAAGACAUGCAGAAACUUGACCCUACUAGCUUCUUCCCUACACACGUGCUGCCAGCAAGAAUGCACACGAUACUUGCUAUACCAAUAGUCAUCAUCAUGUGAUGCGUCGAGAACAAGAUGAUACCACAUACAAAGCUUGCCCAAGCAUGUCUGCCAAAAAUAUUCAAAACUUUCUUCUCCACUAGGUUGAAGAAACAUAUCAGCACUCAACGUAGCGUUGAGCGUGGUUAGUCAAUAUCCAUAUAUGGACAGUAAGCUCCCAUGUAGAGAAAUAACAUUUUUAAAUAUUGGGGUAAGUAAUCAUAGCUUGGGUAAAGUACCUCUGAUAUUUGAUUAUAUGCAUCUAGGAAGACUGGACUAUGUUGUUUGACGAGUACCUCAGUCCAGUAUUCUGGGGUCUUGUCGGCUUUUGAUAGGAGCUCUGCAACCGUGAUUAUCAUAAGAGGAAGACCUUCACAUUUCUUGGCAAUCUUCUCUCCGAGUUUCUCAAGUUGAGGAGGGAAACCCUCUUCACCAAAAACCUUCUCACCAAGUAGUUCCUUACUUUCUUCUUCAUUCAACAAGCGUACUCUUUCGUACCCAUGCUGCGAGAAUUUUAUAUUAUCUCUACUUGUAAGUAAGAAUCGAAUCCUUCUACCAAUUUUCUUUUCUCGUAAGCAACUUGUCAAGCAAUGAGUUGCUUUCCAAACAUCAUCCAACACGAUAAGACAUUUCUUAUGCUUCAAUGUUUCUUUCAAUCGUCCAACUAAUUCCUCCUCAUCAUCAUCUCCUUGAAUAAGCAUUUGGUAAGCGUUGGGAUCCACUUGAGAUAGAACACAUCGUAAUAGUUCAUUAGAUUCACAUUUUCUGCCCACUUUGACCCAUGCUCGAAAAUCAAAAUGGCUCCGAAUUGAUGGAUCUUCAAAAAUAUGCUUAGCAAGAGUUGUCUUUCCAACGCCCGCCAUCCCAAUAAUCGAAUAGUUUUUAUCUUCAAGAAGAUCAUCUCUGGCUUUUCGAAAUUCAUGAGAUAAUCCAACCAUCUUUGAGUUGAUUCCACCAAAAUCGAUUCUUGAGGAAAUAGGCUCGCCUUCUUCUUCUGGCAUAUUCUCCAUUUCAUAAGUGUAUUCCUCCUCCAUCUUCUUCACCAUCUCGACGAAGCAAUCAACACGGUGUUGCAGACUCUGCAGCUCUACAGAGAAUGACAAGCUGCCUCUCUCGCUAUCGAGUUGUGGAAGAAUCUGAUGUAAGACAUGAGAUUCGAGUAAAUCUUCAAACUCCCAAACUGCCUCUUUGAUUCGUUCAUCCACAACAUUCACCUUCGUCCUGAUCUUGCUGCAGCUGGUGUUGUCCAAUCUUAGCAGAACUAUCUGCAAGUGAUCCAUCUGGUCGUAGGCAGGUUGCAAGAUUUGUGGAGAGUGGGAAUCGAGAGAAAUGCGAGAUGAUUGUGGAAUACGCUGAAUGGUAUUCUUGAGAGAAGCCGCCGCACCAUAAGCCGCCAUAUCCAAAUAAUCUGCUGAUUGUUGAAAUAAAAUUGCUUCCACAAACUUAGCUCAGAAAUUUUCUUCCAAAACUGUGUGGUAGAAAUCGCCUAAGAAAGAAACGGAGAAGAAGAAGAAUUAUACUAAUAAGCAAAUGUAGAUGAAACAAAUUAAUGAUACAUCUUUAGCUCUCUGCUGCUAUACCUGAUCUCGUGGCGCAAGUCAACGGCGGCGGCAGCUGGUUUUGAUACAAUUUCAGAAGCAUUCAAGAAUUUGAGUAAAUGAUUUGAAGAGAUGUGUAUAAUGCAAUGGUAAAAUGGAUGUAUUGAUGAUUUUGAAGGCAAAUUAAGGUGUGGAAGAAUAAUUAUAGGAGCGACAAACAAAUUAAGCAACGGAAGAUUAAUUAUGAAGAUUGAGCAGUUGAUCAAGCCGAGCACGUUGAAAAUUAUAACAGCUGCAAGCAAUCUAACUCAUAAAUAAUAACAACUUGACAUUUUUACAUAAUUUAAAAUUUUAAAAUAAAUAAAUAUAUUGUGGCUAGUAGUGUACAUUAAAUAAAAAUACUGAUAAAUUGCAAACAUUAAUUUUCUACAUUGUUAGAGGUGUAACUCUGUUUAAUUUAUUUGAAUUAUCGAGUUUGACAUGAAUUUUUUACGUAGAUUAGCUUAUCUUUUGAAAAGUUUGAUCAUUUAUAUUUACAUGCAAUUCAUCCAAUUUUUUACUUAUAAAUUAUAUGUCAACAAAAUUGGAUUUUGGGUGGUUGUAUAUAUAUUCAUUUUGUUAAACUAAUAAUAAUAAUAAUAAAUAAUAAUAAAAAAAUAGAUAAAUUUAACCUUAUAACUCCCUAGUGUGUUGUAUGUUGUUUCAAGGAUUUUAGGUUUUAUUUGUCCUGUUUAAUAAAAUAUUAGUAUUUCGAUUAANUUGGGCUUUUGGCACUUCGACCUUUUGUUAUUUGGAUCCUUUCUCGGCCCAUCUUUUUUUCUAAUUAAAGAAAAAAAAUAUUAGCUUCUAAAUAAAUUCAAACUUGUAUAAUAAAAAAAUUGAACUGAAUUGCUUACCAAAUAUUAUAACAUUUGAAAAAUCUUUGAUUGAAGGGGAAGAAUGGCAGGAGAAAAAAGAUGGUGAAAAAAAUAUGGUUCAAAGAAAAUUAUGCAUAACACAGAAAAAUUACAGUCCAUGAAUAAGAGACAAAUGUUUUCACACAAAUCCAACUUACAACAAUUUUUGCUACAAACACAUUCUGCACUCAGGUUUCAUAUAUAAUCCUCAACAAAUCACAAUCCUUAAAUUCAUACAACAAUGUGGUAAUACAACAAUUGAAUUCAAAUCAUGGGAUGACGCGGCGUCUGAUCCCUUCGGCUCUCUCAUUUGCCUGAAAAUUUAAAUAUUAUAACAAAACAACAUCAAAUUUAAAUAAAGCUAUGUGAUUUGUUGUAAGACAGAUCGAUAGACAUAGUAAUGGCAUAGGAAGCCAAAAUUGGGUUAACUGAAGCCCCCUCCCAAUUUUUAAAAGAAUGCAUAAAAGUAUGUUUUUGUAUGCUUUCAAUCUACUUAAUGUUGAAUUAAUUGAAUUGCAAACAAUUAUCUAUUAUAUUAAGUGAUUGUUAAAAAAAUGCAUGAAAAUGAAGUGUAAGUAAUGCUAAAAAAAAAUUGCUUCAAUCCUGGAUCCACCUCUGCUUCAAAAAAUUUGCCUCAAAAAAUGAACCCCCAUGUAAAUAUCUUCAAACGUCAUAGAUCAAUAAAUUCAGCCCUCCCUAACCUCCAAUCCUGGAUCCGCCCCUGCUUCUGCGUCCCAAACAUCAUCCAACACAAUGAGACAUUUCUUAUCCUUCAAACUUUCUUUCAAGAUUCUAACUAAUUCUGCCUCAUCAUCUCCUUGGAUCCGCCAUGACUUGAUUGAAAUAUGAUUGUGGUGGUGGUGGUGGUGGAAGGUGUGAAGCGGGAGGAGUUGGCGACGGCGGUAGGUGGUGGUGAUGGAAGGAUAAGGAUUUUGAAGGUUAAAUUGAGUGGUUGAGCUUUGAUGGGCUUUGA
rnacentral:lncRNA from 1 species